CUUGUUCAGUCACUAGCUGGUUUAGUGUGUAGUGAAUACGACCCAGUCCUGGGGAGCCUUGUUCAGUCACUAGCUGGUUUAGUGUCUAGUGAAUACGACCCAGUCCUGGGGAGCCUUGUUCAGUCACUAGCUGGUUUAGUGUCUAGUGAAUACGACCCAGUCCUGGGGAGCCUUGUUCAGUCACUAGCUGGUUUAGUGUCUAGUGAAUACGACCCAGUCCUGGGGAGCCUUGUUCAGUCACUAGCUGGUUUAGUGUCUAGUGAAUACGACCCAGUCCUGGGGAGCCUUGUUCAGUCACUAGCUGGUUUAGUGUCUAGUGAAUACGACCCAGUCCUGGGGAGCCUUGUUCAGUCACUAGCUGGUUUAGUGUCUAGUGAAUACGACCCAGUCCUGGGGAGCCUUGUUCAGUCACUAGCUGGUUUAGUGUCUAGUGAAUACGACCCAGUCCUGGGGAGCCUUGUUCAGUCACUAGCUGGUUUAGUGUCUAGUGAAUACGACCCAGUCCUGGGGAGCCUUGUUCAGUCACUAGCUGGUUUAGUGUCUAGUGAAUACGACCCAGUCCUGGGGAGCCUUGUUCAGUCACUAGCUGGUUUAGUGUCUAGUGAAUACGACCCAGUCCUGGGGAGCCUUGUUCAGUCACUAGCUGGUUUAGUGUCUAGUGAAUACGACCCAGUCCUGGGGAGCCUUGUUCAGUCACUAGCUGGUUUAGUGUCUAGUGAAUACGACCCAGUCCCGGGGAGCCUUGUUCAGUCACUAGCUGGUUUAGUGUCUAGUGAAUACGACCCAGUCCCGGGGAGCCUUGUUCAGUCACUAGCUGGUUUAGUGUCUAGUGAAUACGACCCAGUCCCGGGGAGCCUUGUUCAGUCACUAGCUGGUUUAGUGUCUAGUGAAUACGACCCAGUCCCGGGGAGCCUUGUUCAGUCACUAGCUGGUUUAGUGUCUAGUGAAUACGACCCAGUCCUGGGGAGCCUUGUUCAGUCACUAGCUGGUUUAGUGUCUAGUGAAUACGACCCAGUCCUGGGGAGCCUUGUUCAGUCACUAGCUGGUUUAGUGUCUAGUGAAUACGACCCAGUCCUGGGGAGCCUUGUUCAGUCACUAGCUGGUUUAGUGUCUAGUGAAUACGACCCAGUCCUGGGGAGCCUUGUUCAGUCACUAGCUGGUUUAGUGUCUAGUGAAUACGACCCAGUCCUGGGGAGCCUUGUUCAGUCACUAGCUGGUUUAGUGUCUAGUGAAUACGACCCAGUCCUGGGGAGCCUUGUUCAGUCACUAGCUGGUUUAGUGUCUAGUGAAUACGACCCAGUCCUGGGGAGCCUUGUUCAGUCACUAGCUGGUUUAGUGUCUAGUGAAUACGACCCAGUCCUGGGGAGCCUUGUUCAGUCACUAGCUGGUUUAGUGUCUAGUGAAUACGACCCAGUCCUGGGGAGCCUUGUUCAGUCACUAGCUGGUUUAGUGUCUAGUGAAUACGACCCAGUCCUGGGGAGCCUUGUUCAGUCACUAGCUGGUUUAGUGUCUAGUGAAUACGACCCAGUCCUGGGGAGCCUUGUUCAGUCACUAGCUGGUUUAGUGUCUAGUGAAUACGACCCAGUCCUGGGGAGCCUUGUUCAGUCACUAGCUGGUUUAGUGUCUAGUGAAUACGACCCAGUCCUGGGGAGCCUUGUUCAGUCACUAGCUGGUUUAGUGUCUAGUGAAUACGACCCAGUCCUGGGGAGCCUUGUUCAGUCACUAGCUGGUUUCCAUCUAAUUUGCUGA
rnacentral:lncRNA from 8 species